rnacentral:rRNA from 1 species
UACGUAGGAUCCGAGCGUUGUCCGGAUUUACUGGGCGUAAAGGGUGCGCAGGCGGACUGGUAAGUCAGAGGUGAAAUCUCGUCGCUUAACGACGAAACUGCCUUUGAUACUAUCAGUCUUGAAUCCGGUAGAGAUCUGUGGAAUUCCGAGUGUAGCAGUGAAAUGUGUAGAUAUUCGGAAGAACACCAGUGGCGAAGGCAGCAGAUUGGGCCGGUAUUGACGCUCAGGCACGAAAGCAUGGGGAUCAAACAGG